rnacentral:snRNA from 1 species
UUACUUACCUAGCAGGGGAGAGACCAUAAUCCUGAAGGUGUUUUUCCCAGGGUGAGGCUUAACCACUGCACUCCGGAUGUGCUGACGCCUACAAUUUUCCUGAAUCUGGGAUUUGUGGUAGUGGUGGCCUUUGUUCUCACUCUCCCUUG